rnacentral:rRNA from 1 species
AUUGAACGCUGGCGGCAGGCCUAACACAUGCAAGUCGAACGGAGUGGCGGACGGGUGAGUAAUGUCUGGGAAACUGCCCAGUAGCGGGGGAUAACUACGCGAAAGCGUAGCUAAUACCGCAUACUAUUGGAGCGGCCGAUAUCGGAUUGGCCAGUUGGUGGGGUAACGGCUCACCAAGGCGACUAUCCGUAGCUGGUUUGAGAGGACGACCCGCCACACUGGGACGGAGACACGGCCCUAACUCCUACGGGAGGCAGCAGUGGGGAAUUUUGGACAAUGGGGGAAACCCUGAUCCAGCCAUCCCGCGUGUGCGAUGAAGGCUUUCGGGUUGUAAAGCACUUUUGGCAGGAAAGCGGUACCUGCAGAAUAAGCACCGGCUAACUACGUGCCAGCAGCCGCGGUAAUAC